rnacentral:rRNA from 1 species
AGGGCGAACGCUGGCGGCGUGCUUAACACAUGCAAGUCGAGCGACGCAUCCUUUCGGGGGUGACGGAGCGGCGAACGGGUGAGUAACACGUGGGCAACCUGCCCUCAGCUCUGGGACAACUCCGGGAAACCGGGGCUAAUACCGGAUACGACAUCGGAUCGCAUGGUCUGGUGUGGAAAGUUUUUCGGCUGGGGAUGGGCCCGCGGCCUAUCAGCUUGUUGGUGGGGUGAAGGCCUACCAAGGCGACGACGGGUA